rnacentral:rRNA from 1 species
UACGUAGGGUGCAAGCGUUGUCCGGAAUUAUUGGGCGUAAAGAGCUCGUAGGCGGUUCGUCGCGUCGGCUGUGAAAACCUGAGGCUCAACCUCAGGCCUGCAGUCGAUACGGGCGGACUUGAGUACUGCAGGGGAGACUGGAAUUCCUGGUGUAGCGGUGAAAUGCGCAGAUAUCAGGAGGAACACCGGUGGCGAAGGCGGGUCUCUGGGCCGAUACUGACACUGAGGAGCGAAAGCGUGGGGAGCGAACAGG